CUUAGCCCAGGGGCCGGCGCCUCCCCGCCUCGCGCGGACUGUCUCGUGCGGGCAGCUGCGGGCGCACCUGGACCCUCGCAAGGCCCGGGCGGCGCCGAUCCCCGCGGGACGCGCUGCGCUCGGGGCCUCCCGCCUCCCCCCCUGCCCCAGCCGCCCCCCGGCCGCGCGGCGCCCCGCACCCUGCAGGGACGGCUGCCGCAUCGCUGGGACAAACUCGGCAGCGGAGGCAAAGUUAUUUCCCCUCCCAGGCAGCGGGAUUCCGACUGGCAAGAUGGUGCCCAGCUCUCCGCGCGCGCUCUUCCUUCUGCUCCUGAUCCUCGCCUGCCCCGAGCCGCGGGCUUCCCAGAACUGUCUCAGCAAACAGCAGCUCCUCUCGGCCAUCCGCCAGCUGCAGCAGCUGCUGAAGGGCCAGGAGACACGCUUCGCCGAGGGCAUCCGCCACAUGAAGAGCCGGCUGGCCGCGCUGCAGAACUCUGUGGGCAGGGUGGGCCCAGAUGCCCUUCCAGUUUCCUGCCCGGCUCUGAACACCCCCGCAGACGGCAGAAAGUUUGGAAGCAAGUACUUAGUGGAUCACGAAGUCCAUUUUACCUGCAACCCUGGGUUCCGGCUGGUCGGGCCCAGCAGCGUGGUGUGUCUUCCCAAUGGCACCUGGACAGGGGAGCAGCCCCACUGUAGAGGUAUCAGUGAAUGCUCCAGCCAGCCUUGUCAAAAUGGUGGUACAUGUGUAGAAGGAGUCAACCAGUACAGAUGCAUUUGUCCUCCAGGAAGGACUGGGAACCGCUGUCAGCAUCAGGCCCAGACUGCCGCCCCCGAGGGCAGCGUGGCCGGCGACUCCGCCUUCAGCCGCGCGCCGCGCUGUGCGCAGGUGGAGCGGGCUCAGCACUGCAGCUGCGAGGCCGGAUUCCACCUGAGCGGCGCCGCCGGCGACAGCGUCUGCCAGGACGUGAACGAGUGUGAGCUCUACGGGCAGGAGGGGCGCCCCCGGCUCUGCAUGCACGCCUGCGUGAACACCCCGGGCUCUUACCGUUGCACCUGCCCCGGUGGAUACCGAACUCUGGCUGACGGGAAGAGCUGUGAGGAUGUGGAUGAAUGUGUGGGCCUGCAGCCGGUGUGCCCCCAGGGGACCACAUGCAUCAACACCGGUGGAAGCUUCCAGUGUGUCAGCCCUGAGUGCCCCGAGGGCAGCGGCAAUGUGAGCUACGUGAAGACGUCUCCAUUGUAUUUUGGAGAGCCAGUCUUCCAGCUCUGAGAUUCCUUCUUCAGCUUGGUUGAUUCUGCUGAUAAGACUUGAGACUGCACUGUGAAAUUCUUCUAGUGUGUUCUUCAGCUUUAUCAGGUCAGUCUGGUUCUUUCUUAUAAUGGUCAUUUGGUCUAACACCUCCUGUAUUGUUUUAUUGUAAUCCUUAGAUUUCUUGGAUUGGGUUGACUAUCUCCUGUAUGUCAUUGAUCUUUGUUCCUAUCCAUAUUCUGAAUUCUAUUUGUAACAUUUCAGCCAUUUCAACCUGGUUAAUAACCAUUGCUAGGGAACUGGUACAGUCAUUUGGAGGUAAGAAGGCACUCUGGCUUUUUGAGUUGCCAGAGUUCUUAUGCUGGUUCUUUCUCAUUUAUAUCGGCUGAUGUUCUUCAAUCUUUGAAGUUGCUGUCCUUUGGGUAGAUUUUUUGCUUUUUUCUUCUUGAUAACCUUGGGGGUUUGAUUACAGUAUAAGGUGGGAUCAGUUGACUGGCUUAGAUUCUAGCCUGCUCCUGGGUCUUGGAGGAGCCCUCUCUGAUUACUGUCUCUGUGCCCAUGUUUCUUUUGUUGAGUGUUCUUGUCCAUGGGGCUCUCCCUCAGACAGGAACCUCAGUUGACAGAUAGGUUGUAUCCUUGCUAGGUCAGCCCUAAUCUGUUGUUGUCUGUUUACUUCCUGAGUAAACACGGGGUUGCACCUGCCUGCAGAGUUCAGGUAGAAGUGGGACCACUGGGUUGGAAGCUCUAGCAGGUGUGGCCUGGCCUGUCUGGCUACAAGAGGUGGGGGGAGGGUGGAGUUGCCUGCCCUGCUGUCUGGGUGUUUCCAGGGCAAAAGGAGGCUGUGCCCUAAAAAAAGAAGAAAUUCUGACAUGGUACAAUAUGGAUGAAUCUUGAGGACAUUAUGCUAAAUGAAAUAAGCCUGUUGAGAAGGACAAAUACUAUAUGAUUUCACUUACAUGAGAUACCUACAUUUGUCAAAAUCACAAGGGACAGAAAAUAGGAUGGUGGUGACAGAAAUGUCUGUCAAAAAGGACAAACUGUAUGAUUUCACUUAUAUGAGAUAAAAAAAGGACAUACUGUAUGAUUUCACUUAUAUGAGAUAUCUAAAGUAGUCAAAAUCACAAGAGACAGAAAACAGGAUGGUAGCUGUCAAGGCCUUGAAGACAAGAGGAAAUGGGGAGUUUUUGUUUAAUGGAUACAGGGUUUUAGUUUUGAGAUUAAAAACAUGAGCUCUGGUAAUAUAUGUGGUGGUAAUGGUUUCAAAACUAUAUGAAUGAACUUAACAUUACUUAAUUGUACAUUUACAAAUGGUUAAGAUGGUAAAUAUUAGGUGUAUUUUAUCACAAUAAAAAACUUUUAAAGUAUCCAUCUAUUCCUAUUUUCUUUAGUGUUUUUUUAAAAUAAGAAAUGAGUGUUGACUGCAUGUUCUCACUCAUAGGUGGGAAUUGAACCAUAAGAACAUUUGGACACAGGGUGGGGAACAUCACACACUGGGGCCUGUCGUGGGGUGGGGGAGUGGGGAGGGAUAGCAUUAGGAGAUAUACCUAAUGUAAAUGACGAGUUAACAGGUGCAGCACACCAACAUGGCACAUGUAUACAUAUGUAACAAACCUGCACGUUGUGCACAUGUACCCUAGAACUUAAAGUAUAAUUUAAAAAAAGAAAAAAAAAGUAAAGAAUAUUUAAAGAAGGAAUAAUAAAUCUAUAUGAACAAUUGCAUGUCAAUGUAUUAAUUUAGAUGUAAUGGACAAAUUUCUAGAAACACACAAACAAUCCUCAAGAAUAGAAUAAAAUAAAUAAAGCCAUUAAAAAAAAGAAAUGAGUGUUGAAUUUAGCAGAAAGCUUUUUUUAGCAUCUACAAAAAUCAUCAUGAUAUGAAGGACUGCUGUUUUUCCAUGAUAAUUCUUGUAUAACCUCUUGACUUUUUAAACUAUCUGCAUAUAUUACUUUUAUAAGAAUAUUUAAUUUAAAAAACUUUGGGGCUACAAGCAAAAUAGUACAUUAAGAAAAAUGUAUAGGUUUAGAUGUGCUGAGAAAGAAGAAAUGCUAACAAUCAAUCUUUGGGCAAAAUAAGCCCAAACAAUGUAAAAUGACUGAUAUAAUCUAGAAAAUAAAUUGAUGAAAUAGAAAAUUAGUAUAAAAUAGAAUUAAAGAAAGCAAAGUUGGUUCUUUCUAGAGAAUAAUGUAACUACGAAACUGCAGAUUAACUGAUGAAGAAAAACAGAAGGCACAAAUAAUCAAUAUAAGGAAUAAAGGCCAGGCACGGCAGCUCACACCCUGUAAUCCCAGCACUUUGGGAGGCCAAGGCAGGUGGAUCAUUUGAGGUCAGGAGUUUGAGACCAGGCUGGCCAAAAUGGUGAAACCCCAUCUCAACUAAAAAUACAAAAAUUAGCCAGGGUGGUAGGUGCCUGUAAUCCCAGCUACCCAGGAGGCUGAGGCAGGAGAAUCGCUUCAGCCUGGGAGGCAGAGGUUGUGGUGAGCUGAGAUAGAUAAUGCCACUGCACUCCAGCUUAGGUGACAGAGUGAGACCCUGUCUCAAAAGGCAUUAAUAUUUUGACAUAAUAUUAAUGAUAUUUGAAAACUUCACAUUUAUAUUUAAAAAUUUAGUUUAUAUCAGGAACGUAAGGGUGGUUUAGUAUUUUUAAAUGCAUAGAUAUAAUCUGUUGCUUUGGCAGAAUAAAAAGAAAAACUCUGGUCAUGUCAAAAAGAAUUCCAAAAAAGUCAACAUCUCUUCCUGAUUAUAAAACAAAGAAACAAAAAGUCCAACAACUCUUAUCAAGCUACAAUUUGAAGAGAAUUUCAUUAACUUGACAGAGUUUCUACCAGAAAAUUGCAGGACACAUUGUAUUCAGUGGGGAAAAUAUUAAUAGCAGUCUCUUUAAAACCCAGGACAAAAAUACACUAUCAUUGCUUUAUUUCAAAUUACAUUGCCUCAAAGACUUGAACAUAAAUGUUCGCUGAAGCUUUAUUUAUAAUACUCAAAUGUCCAUCAACAGAUGAAUAAACAAGUAUAUCCAUACAAAAGAACACAAUUCAGCAAUAAAGAGAAGUGUGCUGCUAAUAUACAUAAAAACAGGAAGCUUGAAAACACCAUACUGAGCAAAAGACACAAGAGUGUAGACUAUAUAAUUCUGCUUAUAUGAAAUUCUAGAACAGGCAAAACUAAUCGAUACUUACUGAAAGAAUACCAGUGGAUGCCUAAGGUCUGAGAGAAGGAGAAGAAUGAAUUGUAGUAAAGUGUCACAGGGAACAUUCUGGGGUGAUGGAAUGUCCUAUUUAUUGAUUGUGGUGGUAGCCACAUGGUUAUACACAUGUCAAAACUCAUUGAACUGUAUACUCUCCAUUUAUUUAGAUCUUCAGUGUCUCUCGGUUUUGUAAUUUUCAGUGUACAAGUGUACACCUUUUUAAUUUAUUCCUGUUUUAUUCUGUUUGAUGCUACUGAAUGAAAUUGUUUAAACUUCAUUUUGAGACUGUUCACUGGUAGUAUGUAGAAAGAGAAUUUACUUUUGUGUAUUGAUCUUGUUUCCUGAGACUUUGCUGAAUUUAUUAACUCUAGUAGGUUUUAUUUUGUAUGUGUGCAUUAAAAAUGGGUGCAAUUCAUUGACUGUUCUGUAUACCUCAAAAUAGUUAAUUGUUAAAAAAAAAACUAACAAAAAUAUGCAACCCACUGGGGAAAAUAAUAAAAUGUUAUCAAAAGACAUUUUGAAAGACUAUAGACAACAAUUAGCCAGGUGUGGUAGCACACACCUGCAGUCCCAGCUACUUGGGAGGCUUAGGUAGAAGGAUUGCUUGAGCCCAGGAGUUCAAGGCUAAAGUGAGCUAUGAUUGUGCUACUGCACUCCAGCCUAGGCAACAGAGCAAGACCCUAUGUCUAAAAAAAGACUACAGUCAACAUAUUCAUAGAUUAAAAGCCUCAAUGUCACAAAGCUGGCCAGGCACAGUGGCUCAUGCCUGUAAUCCCAACACUUUGGGAGGCUGAGGCGGGCAGAUCACUUGAGGUCAGGAGUUCGAGACCAGCGUGGCCAACAUGGUGAAACUUAGUCUCUACUAAAAAUACAAAAAUUAGCUGGGCAUGGUGGUAAGUGCUUGUAGUCCCACCUACUCAGGAGGCUGAGGCAGGAAUAUCACUUGAACCCAGGAGACGGAAGUUGCAGUGAGCCAAGAUCAUGCCACUGCACUCCAGCCUGGACAACAGAGUGAGCAUGGUGGCUCACGCCUGUAAUCCCAGCACUUCGGGAGGCCAAGGCAAGUGGAUCACCUGAGGUCAGGAGCUCAAGACCAGCCUGGCCAACACAGUGAAACCCCAUCUCUACUAAAAAUACAAAAAUUAGCCGGGUGUGGUGGCGCACACCUGUAAUCCCAGCUACUUGGGAAGCUGAGGCAGGAGAAUCGCUUGAACCCAAGAGGUAGAGGUUGCAGUGAGUUGAGAUUAUGCCACUGCACUCCAGCCUAGGCAACAGAGCAAGACUUCAUCUCAAAAAAAAAAGAAAAUCUUUUUAUGAUACAGAAUUCAAAAGGAUUAUAAGACAAUACUAUAAACAAAUUUACGCCAACAAAGUAGACAACUUAGAUGAAAUAGCAAAAUUAAUGGAAAGAUACAAAUUACCAAAGCUGUUUUUUUUUUAAAAAAGAAAAAUCUGAAUAAACUUAUAACAAGGACAGAAAUUGAAUCUGUUAUGUAAAAUCUAAUUAAAAAAAAGCGGCUGGGCGCGGUAGCUCACGCCUGUAAUCCCAGCACUUUGGGAGGCUGAGGCGGGCAGAUCAUGAGGUCAGGAGAUCAAGACCAUCCUGGCUAACACGGUGAAACCCCGUCUCUACUAAAAAUACAAAAAAAUUAGCCAGGUGAGGUGGCGGGUGCCUGUAGUCCCAGCUACUCAGGAAGCUGAGGCAGGAGAAUGGUGUGAACCCGGGAGGUGGAGUUUGCAGUGAGCCAAGAUUGUGCCACUGCACUCCAGCCUGGGCAACAGAGCCAAGACUCCAUCUCAAAAAAAAAAAAAAAAGCUCAGGCCCAGUUGUCUUACUGGUGAAUUAAAGGAGAAAUAAUAACAAAUUUUCAUGAAUUCUUCCAGAAAAUAGGGGAAGCUGGAACACCUUUCAACUCAUUCUAGGAGGCCAGUAUUACCUUGAUACGAAAGCCAGAAAAAGACAUCACAAGAAAAGAAAGCUACACAUGAAUAUCCCUCAUAAACAUGAAAAAGAUGUAAAAAUCCUUAAUAAAAUAUUAGCCAAUGAAAUCCAAUAAUAAAUUAUAUACAACAUGACCAAGUGGGUUUUACCUCAAGAAUGUAAAACAAAUUAUUUUACAACUAAUAUAUCAUGUGAAUAAAAUAAGAGGAAAAAUUAUAUGGUCAUCUCAACAGAUGCACAGAAAUCAUUUGAUAAAACCCAAGAUUCAUCCAUGAUAAAAGUACUCAAAAAACUAGAAAUAGGAGAGAACCUCCUUCAACUAGAGUAUCUAUAAAAACCUACAGCUAAAAUCAUAUGUAUUGGUGAAAGACUGAAUGCUUCUGCCAAAUAUCAGGACAAAGGCAACAUUAUCUGCUCUCACUUCUAUUUAACCUUGUAUAGAAGGUUUCAGCCAGUGAAAUCAGGCACAAAAGAAAUAAAAAGCAUUAGAAAGGUUAGAAAGGAAGAGGCAGCUGGGCGCGGUGGCUCACGCCUGUAAUCCCAGCACUUUGGGAGGCCGAGGCAGGCGGAUCGCCUGAGGUCAGGAGUUUGAGACCAGCCUGGCCAACAUGGUGAAACCCCAUCUCUACUAAAAACACAAAAAUUAGCCGGGCGUGGUGGCAGAUGCCUGCAAUCCCAGGUACUCGGGAGGCUGAGGCAGGAGAAUCACCUGAACCCGCAAGGCCGCGGUUGCAGUGAACCGAGAUCGCGCCAUUUGCACUCCAGCCUGGGGGAGAAGAGCAAGACUUUGUCUCAAAAAACAAAGGAAGACAUAACAUAAUCCUACAUAUACAAAUUCCUAAGGAAUACAUGCACACACAAAAUAAAACCUACUAGAGCUAAUAAAUGAAUUCGAAGUCUUGGGAAACAAGAUCAAUAACAGAAAUAAAUUCUAUUUCUACAUACUACCAAUGAACAACUAAAAAUAAAGUUUAAAUUACAAUUCCAUUCAAUAGCAUCAAACAGAAUAUGUACGAAUAAAUUAACAAAAAAGUGUACACUGUACACUUGUACAGUGAAAAUUACAAAACUGAGAGAAACUGAAGAUCUAAAUAAAUGGAGAGACAUUCCAUGCUCACAGAUCAGAAUUCUAUGUGCAAUUUUCCACAGAUGCAAUGCAAUCCCUAUCAAAAUCUCAGCAUGGGUUUUUUGCAGAAUGUACAAGCUGAUCUUAAAACUUAUAUGGAAAAGCAAAAGAUCCAGAGUAGCCAAAACAAUCUUUGAAAAGUAGAACAAAGCUAGACAGCUUACGCUUCCUUAUUUCAAAACUUAGAACAAAGCUAUAGUAAUCAAGACACUGUGAUAGUGUAUAAGGACACACAUAUAGAGGUCAAUGGAACACAACUAAGUACAGAAAUAAAUCCAUACAUUUAUAGUCAGCUGAUUUUUGACAAAGGCAUGAAGGCAAGUCAGGGGGAAGGGGCAGUCUUUUUUUAAAAUGGUGCUGGUGGCCAGGCACAGUGGCUCACCUUUGUAAUCCCAGAAUUUGGGAGGCCAAGGUGGGCAGAUCACCUGAGGUCAGGAGUUCAAGACCAACCUGGCCAACAUAGUGAAAGCCUGUCUCUACUAAAAAUAACAAAAAUUAGGAGGCAUGGUGGUACACACCUACAGUUCCAGCUACUCGGGAUGCUGAGGCAUGAGAAUCACUUGAACCUGGGAGGCAGAGGUUGCAGUGAGCCGAGACUGCACCACUGCACUCCAGUCUGGCAACAGAGUGAGACUCUGUCUCAAAAAAAAAAAAAAAAGUGCUGGGACAAUUGGACAUCUACAUGUAAAAAAAAGUUUUGCCCUUAACUCACACAAUUCCUAAAAAUUAACUCAAAAUGAAUCAUAGACAUAAACACAAGAGCUAAAACUAGAAAAUUUUUAGAAGAAAACAUAAGAGCACAUCUUGUGACUUUGUGUUAGGCAAUAAAUUCUUAGAUACAACACGGAAAGCAUGAUCCAUAGAAGAGAAAACUGAUAAACUGUACGACAUCAAAAUGAAAACUUUGAUGCUUCAAAAGAUACCAUUAAUAAAAUAAGACAAGCCACAGAUUGGGAUAUUUGCAAAUCAUGUAUCUAAUAAAGGAUCUGUAUCCAACAUACGUAAAGAACUCCUAAAACUCAAUAAGAAAACAAUCUAAUUUUAAAAUGGGCAGAGAUCUAAACUGACUAAUGGCCAAUAAGCACAUGAAAAGAUGUUCAUAGUCAUUUGAGAAAUGAAAAUUACAACUACAGUGAGAUACAGCAUCACUCCUACUGGAAAAGCUAUAAUCAAAAUGACUGACAGUAACAAGUGUUGCUACGGUAAUUAAGAUAGUAUAUACUGGAGAAAAAGACAAAUGGAGAAGAACUGACAUCCCAGAAACAGACCUUCAGAUCUUCACUUGAUGGAAACUUGACAUAUACCAAAAGGGGUAUUACAGGUUAGUGGGGGAAAGAGCAGUCUUUUUAAUUAAAUAAUGCUUGGGAGAUUGGUUAUCCAUGUGGGAAAAAGGGAACAACAACAACAAAAAUAAGAAUGAUAUGAGGCCUCUAUCUGAUACCAUUUUAAAAAAGUCUAUUAGUAUUAUUUUUUCUUUUCUCCCUAGAGUUACAGUUAUACUCUUUUUUCAUUCAUUCUACCAGUUCCUCCCACAUGUAAAGUACAAAAGGUGGAGUACAGUUUCCUUCUCCUUGACUUUGGGCUUGGCCAUAUGACUUACUUUAGCCAAUGGGUUAUAAGUAAAUGUGCUGUAAACAGGGCUUUGCCCUCUUGAGUUUCUGCCAACACCAUGAGAAGAACAUGCCCUAGCUAGCCCACUGGUCCCAGGAGAGUUAGAUAAGUAUGGGCAGAACUGACCCAGCAGAUCUGCCAUAUGAAACAGUGCCAACCCAACCAAGGCCAGAUGAGAUCAGCCAACUCCCAGCCAAUCUAUAUAUGCAUAAAAAAUAAGCACUUUGUGUUAUUCACUACUGAGAACCUUGUAGUUGUUUUUGCUAAGCACCAUUACUGUACCAACUGUUAAUACAAUUCCCAAUGGAUUAAAAUAUAAACGUAUACAGCAAAGCUCCAAAACUUAAAAAAAAAGUUAAAUUACUUUACAGCCUCAUGACAGGGAAUAAUUUCUUAAAUGAGACACAAAACACAAAAGUAGGCAUAAACAAAAAGAUUCCCAAAAUAAGUAAUUCUACUCACUGAGAUGCCGCAAAAAAAAAAAACAAAAAACGAAAAGACCGUCCACAAAAUGGGAGAAGGCCUGCCACACAUACCUCACAAAGAAUUAUAUAAGGAAUAUAUAGAAAUCAAUGUAUAAAGGACAAUCAGACCAAUAAAAACAUGGGCAAAGACAUUAACAGGCAUUUCACCAAAGAUGAAACUCAAAAACCAGUAAGCAUAAGAAAAGAUGCUGCACUUCAUGCAAAUUAAGUUACGAGAUUCUAUUUUUACAUCCACUAAAUUGGUUGAAAUUAAAGUAUUGACAAUAUAAAGUACUGGCAAGUGUAGAAUGACAGUUCUUCUACACAGUUUGUAGGAGUAUAAACUGGUAUAACUACUUGAGAAAAAAACUGAUAUUAUAUUAAAUUUUAUGAUGAUAUGAUUCUACUCCUUGGCACAUACUGUGGAUAACUUGUGCACAUUCAUGCCAAGAAGUAUGUAUAUGGAUAUUUACAAGAGUUAGUAUUUUUAAAAAUUGAAAAUAACCUAAAUAUUCAUUAAUAGUAGAAUGACCAAAUAACUAAUAUAAACAUAAAGUGAAAUGUUAUAUAGGAGUAAAAAUGAAUGACAGCUGCAUGCAUCUACACGAAUGAAUAAUGUUGGGUGAAAAUAGCCACGUCAUCAAUUAAUACAGAGAGUAUGAUACAGUCUGAUAAAAUCCAAACAUAAGCAAAACUAAAUAUAUUGUUUUGUGAAUUAUACGUAUUUGGUAAAUCUACAAAGAAACACAAGAGGAGAAUAAAAAUAUACCUGAUAGACAAGCCCACACAAGGAAGCAGGCUGAUGUAGAUCCAUAUAGGUAUGUAAAUAUAUCAAAUAUUUUAUAAUUCUUUUUUAGUGGCGGAGGAAGAAGAAAAAUACUUCUAUUUGAGAACCCUAUUGAGGUUGCAUGCCAACUUCUGGAGAUGUUCAGACAAGAAAAAAAGAAAUGUGAAAGAGUUUCCUAACUCUGUUGUUGCACGUGCCCAAGGCAAGGGUGAAGAACCCAGGCAUGGGAGCUAAUCCUAGAGGAGCCCAGGCUGAUGACAGCAAUGACUUAAAGCAAUUUCUGCAUAAAAAUUUUCAGCAAAGAAAUCUGUCCAGAGAAAAUAAAGUUCUUAAGACAAGUGGCCUUUUGGCAAGAACAGCUGCUCAAAGAUAUGAGGAAACUGGAGCUUCAUCAGACAAUUUAAAACCAGGUAAAUACUUUCCAGUGGUUUUCCUUGGCUUUUAAUGAGUUCACAGGUGUUACUGACACUGCUUGGUAUCACUGUGCUGUUCAAAGUUAAAAUAGGAACAAGAUCUCCAUACCUACAUUAAUUUGCAGCAGAUAUAUUUUGCACACUCAAACAGUUCCAGAAGUGUUUUUUCAGACUUUAAGUGCUUCAAAAUCCAUUUAACUAUGCAACUGAGGAGCUUCCGCCUAACCUUUGAUUGGCAGUGACUCAUCUGCAAUGUAGUAACAUGCUAAAAGACAAAUCUAAGAGAAGAAUCGAACAAAGUUCCAUAAAUGUCUUCCAGGCAAUGUAUAUGCUCAAUUAAGAUCAUAUUCUGGUGAACUGAUAUCAGUAUUGGGCAAUAUCCAUCUGUAGCGAAAAGACAUUUUCAGAGAUGAAAUAAAGUCUUAUUAUAUAUCAGCUUAACAGAUGAAUCUUUGCAAUCAAUUUUGAUAAGGAACAGUAACUUUGAACCCCAAUUAAGCAAAUAAUUACCUCACAAAGAAGAAUCCCAUUCUUCUCAUUAGAAUCGUAUUAAAAAACAAUUAUUAUUAUGUACUGAAGUCUAUCAGUCAAAGGCUGUGUUGUGGAAACUUGUUUUCUCUCCUUCAUUAUAUAAAUACGUACAUAACAUCCUCAAUUUUGCUUCUUGCCUUAAAAACCUAAAAUAUUUAUUGUCUUGUCCUUUAUAGAAAAUGCUUACUGAUCCCUGAUCUCCAGAACAUAACAAAAAAGCAAGAAAAUAACUGAAAAACAGAUCCAGAAGAAGCAACUAUCAUUUGAGAAAAAGAACUCGAAAAUUUAAAAAUACACAAAGAUAUUAAAAAAUAUAUUCAAAAACAAUGUUAGAAAGCUAUCAAAACAAGAAUAAGAUCUUAGUUAAAUUGUAAUUUAUGAAAUAAUGAUAAAUAGAAACAGAGGAAAUAUCUUGGGAUAUAAAGAAAAAAGAUAAAAAAUAAGAGAUAUGUCUCAUAUAAAAGGAUAUGAAUAAAUAAUCUCACCACAAUAGCACUAAGCAGAAUGAAUGAAAAAAGAUUCACAAUCGCAUAGAAUUAAGAAUGCCAAGAAUGAAGAGAAGAGCCUUAAAGCUUCCAGAGAAAACAGGAUACUUACAAAGAUAUUAGAAUGAAAUUGGUAAAUUUCACCUUUGUAACACUGGAUAGUAGAAGACAAUGGAGCAGUAACCUCAAACUUAAUUCUAUUUCAGCCAAACUAUCAACAAUGAGGUAAAUUCAAGAUAUUUUCAGAAAUGUUAACAAGAACUCAAAAAUCUGUCUUCCAUGCAUCCCUACAUAUGGGUGUAUGCCAACCAAUGAGAAACCAACAGCUAGAAAAUGAUACUUAAAAAAAAUUAUUCACAAUAGUUUCAUUAAACACUUAGCAAUAAAUAUAACAAAAGGUAUAUAAGAUGUGAGAUAUCUACAAAGAAAGUUAUAGGCAUACCUUAUUUGAUGUCCUUCAUUUUACUGUGUGUCACAAAUAACACAUUUCUUUUACAGAUUGAAGGUCUGUGGCAACCCUGCAUCAAACAAGUCUAUUGGCACCAUUUUUUGAAAAGCAUGUGUUCACUCUGUGUCUCUGUGUCACAUUUUGGUAAUUCUCGCAAUACAUCUGUUAUAGCGAUCUGUGA